AUGGGGAUGGGAAUCCUGAUUGGUCGAGGGCCUCAUAGGGCCGUGACCCUGCUGGAGUGCGGGGGGGACCUCCAGCCCCCCGGGGGGUCCCUGCGCCUCCUCUGCCGAGGGGCCGGCUUCGAUUUCGGGAGUUUUGGAAUGUUCUGGAUCCGCCAGAGACCCUGGCAGGGGCUGGAGUGGGUCGGGGGAAUCACCACCAUUGGCAGCACCUUCUACGCGCCGUCAGUGCGGGGCAGGGUCACGAUCUCCAGGGACAACGGGCAGAGCUCGGUGACGCUGACCAUGACCGACCUCCGGGACGAGGAUUCCGGAUCCUAUUUCUGUGCCAAAUCUGCUUCUGCUGGUGGUUAUGGUGCUGCUGGUGCUUAUAGUGACGGUGCCGGCUGUGGCCCCACUCCCCAUGAUGGGCACCCAAUGUCCCCAAUCCCAGCGAUCCUUCCCCCAAAUCCCAGCCCCGUUCCUCCAAUCUCGGCCAUUUCCCCCAAACUCCUCCCCUGCUGACCGAGCUCUGGACUU